AAGUGCUGGGAUUACAGGUGUGAGCCACCGCGCCUGGCCUUAUUGCUGAUUUAGAGCAGUUCACCUACACUGGGGCCAGGGAAGUGGCAAAAGAAGGGGCUGUUGGUGGUGGUUGCUGGGGUUACUGACCCAAUAAUAAUAUUUAAGAUUAUAGUUACUGAUGCCUAUUUCAUGCCAAGCACUGUGCUAGGUACUCUUCAGGCUUCCUGUCAUUGAUUCUUCCCAAUAAGUGCGGGGGACAUUCUCUUCAUUUUACCAAGGAGAUUGAAAAGAUUCAGUAACUUUUCCAGGCCCAUCCAGCUGGGACUCCAACCCAGGUUAUUCAAAGCCCAUGCUUUGAACCUUCAUGCUGGAGAGUUCUGUUGAGAAGGAGGAAUGAGGUCCCCGUGUCUCACAGGGGUUGUCAGUUCUGCAAGAAGUGCUGAGGUGUGGAUUCCUCACAUCUCUGAGGUGAUGUAUGACUCUUCCUGAAGGCCACGCUCCUUCCCUUUGCCACCGGACAGGGUCCGUGGCCUGCUCUGCAACUGCUUUCCCAGCAUGUCCCAGUUUCUUUCCCCAGCCGCCUCCCUCGGGUUCUGUCUGAGACUCUUCGUGGAUGGGGUUGGAGCAACCAGGAGCACUUGGGAAAUGGCACUGCGCUCACCUGAACUAUCACUCUGAGUGUUUCCAGAGCACAUAGCCACUGUUUGUUGGUUCUCAGUUUGUUUUCAGGCAAUGGCAUGUUCAGAUAGCUGAGGAGCUCGAAGGUUGAAGGAAAAGCUGCAGCCUCUGGACCCUGAGAGGCAGUGUCAUGAGAGGACACCAUUCUUUUCACUGGGUCUGCAUGCCCAAAAAAGGGAGUACAGUCACAGAUCGGGGUGAAAGCAUAAGCAGGUAAUACCGUAAGUGGUUAGUCACGCUUGGAACAUGACAUCUCUAUUGAGAAGUUGCCUCGGACAAAGUAUUGAAAUAGGAUAUGGAAUUGGCAGGAAGUUCAAGUGGUUAGGACUCAUUUGAGGUUACUUAAUGGUCCUUUGAUCCUUGUUCUGGGGAAAGCCAGUCAAAGGGGUGAGACUUUUGGGCUUCUCCUGGCCCCACCCAAUGUCCCUGGCUUCAGGCUGUGUCCCUGAGCCCAGCCCGGAGAGAGGCAGUGGUGACUUGUCUCCAAAGAUGCCCUGCCUCCAUCCCAGUGGUAUUCAUGCUGCUCUACAGUUCUGUUCAUUUCUCUUGGGUCUGGGCUGGCUCUGCGCCUUGCCUGUAGCCAAUAAGGUGUGAUGGAAAUGGUGCUCUGUGACUCAGAAGGCCGGGUCAAAGCAGCCUUGCAGUGUCUGCCUUGGUCUUCUGACUGCCUCGGGAGCCCUGAGCUGCUGUGCAGGAGACGCCAGGCGUGGGCGCUCCAGGAGACAGGCCCCACUGAGCCCAGCCUUGCAGCCGUCUUGCCAAACCACUCAACUCAUGAAGGAGGCUAUCCAGGGUCUUCCAUACCGGCCCAUCUGCCAGCCGAGUGCCAUCAGGUGACCUCAGUCAGUGCCACAUGGGGCAGUAGAAUCACCCUGCCCAGCAGUCCCUGAAUGAAAACCUGCCACAAAAGCAUGAGAUAUUGUAAAAUCAUUUUAAGCCACUAAGUUUUGGGACAGCAUGUUACGCAACAAUAGAAAAUAGAGCUGAGGCCCACCGUCCUGCCCUUUCUGCAAGAUGCUAACAUAAGUGGGCUGCCCUCUGAGACCCUUGAACUCUGUUCUUCUCAGGCAGAUCCAGUCUGGACUCUGAGCCCCUCCCCUGUCUAGACUCUUAUUCUAGCAGUACCGUUCUCCACUGCAGCUGACCUCAGCCCAGACGCUGUUCUCAGAGGAAGACCCCACGGACGGUCCAUGCCUUGUUCAGACCCCAUUGCAGGGCAGGACCCACAGCCCUUAGCCAUUGGCUCAAAGUACAUCAUUCAUUCAUUCAAAAGAUAUUGAGACCUUCUGAGUGCCAGGCUCUGUUUUAGGAUCUGAGGAUAUAACCACGAAUGAGAUGAGCCCUCCUGGAACUUACUUUCUAGUGGCAGAGACAGGCAACAAACACGGGAAUAGAAUUUCAAAAUGACGGGUGUGGUGGCUCAUGCCUGUAAUUCCAGAUCUUUCAGAGGCCAAGGUGGGUGGAUCACCUGAGGUCAGGAGUUCGAGACCAGCCUAGCCAACAUGUGUUUCUACUAAAAAAUACAAAAAAAAAUUAGCCAGGUGUGGUGGCAGGCACCUGUAAUCCCAGCUACUUGAGAGGCUGAGGCAAGAGAAUUGCUUGAACCCAAGAGGUGGAGAUUGCAGUAGGUCAAGGAUGCGCCAUUGCACUCCAGCCUGGGAGAGAGUGAGACUCCAUCUCAAAAAAAAAAAAAAAAA
ensembl:lncRNA